UACGAAGGGGCUAGCGUUGCUCGGAAUUACUGGGCGUAAAGGGCGCGUAGGCGGCACUGUUAGUCAGGCGUGAAAGUCCUGGGCUCAACCUGGGAACUGCGCUUGAUACGGCAGAGCUAGAGGAUGGAAGAGGGUCGCGGAAUUCCCAGUGUAGAGGUGAAAUUCGUAGAUAUUGGGAAGAACACCGGUGGCGAAGGCGGCGACCUGGUCCAUUACUGACGCUGAGGCGCGACAGCGGUGGGGAGCAAACAGG
rnacentral:rRNA from 1 species